rnacentral:rRNA from 1 species
UACGAGGGGGGCAAGCGUUGUUCGGAAUUAUUGGGCGUAAAGGGCGCGUAGGCGGUGCGGUAAGUCUGAUGUGAAAUCUCCGGGCUCAACUCGGAGUCUGCAUCAGAAACUGCCGUGCUCGAGUGUGGGAGAGGUGAGUGGAAUUCCCGGUGUAGCGGUGAAAUGCGUAGAUAUCCGGAAGAACACCGGUGGCGAAGGCGGUCUGCUGGGCAGUUGCUGACACUGAGGCGCGACAGCGUGGGGAGCAAACAGG